UAGGGAAUCUUCGGCAAUGGACGAAAGUCUGACCGAGCAACGCCGCGUGAGUGAAGAAGGUUUUCGGAUCGUAAAACUCUGUUGUUAGAGAAGAACAAGGACGUUAGUAACUGAACGUCCCCUGACGGUAUCUAACCAGAAAGCCACGGCUAACUACGUGCCAGCAGCCGCGGUAAUACGUAGGUGGCAAGCGUUGUCCGGAUUUAUUGGGCGUAAAGCGAGCGCAGGCGGUUUCUUAAGUCUGAUGUGAAAGCCCCCGGCUCAACCGGGGAGGGUCAUUGGAAACUGGGAGACUUGAGUGCAGAAGAGGAGAGUGGAAUUCCAUGUGUAGCGGUGAAGUGCGUAGAUAUAUGGAGGAACACCAGUGGCGAAGGCGGCUCUCUGGUCUGUAUCUGACGCUGAGGCUCGAAAGCGUGGGGAGCAAACAGG
rnacentral:rRNA from 1 species